rnacentral:rRNA from 1 species
UGGGGAAUCUUGCGCAAUGGACGAAAGUCUGACGCAGCGACGCCGCGUGAGUGAAGAAGGCCUUAGGGUUGUAAAGCUCUGUCGUCUGGGACGAACAUCAUUCAGGUUCAUAGCCUGAGUGACUGACGGUACCAGAAAAGGAAGCACCGGCUAACUCUGUGCCAGCAGCCGCGGUAAUACAGAGGGUGCAAGCGUUGCUCGGAAUCAUUGGGCGUAAAGGGCAGGUAGGUGGUCUGAUUUGUCUCAGGUGAAAUCCUAGGGCUUAACCCUAGAAGUGCCUGAGAAACGGUCAGACUAGAGUGCUGGAGAGGGUCGUAGAAUUCCCGGUGUAGCGGUGAAAUGCGUAGAGAUCGGGAGGAAUACCAGAGGCGAAGGCGACGACCUGGACAGUGACUGACACUCAACUGCGAAAGCGUGGGGAGCAAACAGG